UACGGAGGGUGCAAGCGUUGUCCGGAUUUAUUGGGUUUAAAGGGUGCGUAGGCGGCCUUGUAAGUCCGCUGUAAAAGUCAAAGGCUCAACCUUUGAAUGUCAGUGGAUACUGCCGGGCUAGAGUCCGGAAGAGGCGAGUGGAACUCCUGGUGUAGCGGUGGAAUGCGCAGAUAUCAGGAAGAACACCAACGGCGAAGGCAGCUCGCUGGGACGGUACUGACGCUGAGACGCGAAAGCGUGGGGAGCGAACAGG
rnacentral:rRNA from 1 species